UGACUGGUAUGCCUACAGGCACUUGUAA
rnacentral:piRNA from 1 species